CAAUAGCGUAUAUUAAAGUUGUUGUAGUUAAAAAGCUCGUAGUUGGAUUUCUGGAUGGAGCGACCGGUCGGGCAUUAAUUUGUCUGCACUGGAGUCGGUUCCGUCCAUCCUCUUGGAAAGUGCGUGGGGCAUUAAGUUGUCUGGCGUAUGAUCCAAGUCGUUUACUGUGAAAAAAUUAGAGUGUUUAAAGCAGGCCUUCGCCUUGAAUACAUUAGCAUGGAAUAAUAAGAUAGGACUUUGGUCUAUUUUGUUGGUUUGCAGACCGAAGUAAUGAUUAAUAGGGAUAGUUGGGGGUAUUUAUAUUCCGAUGUCAGAGGUGAAAUUCUUAGAUUUUCGGAAGAUAAACUUAUGCGAAAGCAUUUACCAAGGAUGUUUUCAUUAA
rnacentral:rRNA from 1 species